rnacentral:tRNA from 1 species
AAGAAAUUAGUUAAUUAAUAAUAAAAGCUUGUCAAGUUUUAGUAGCUAUAAGAUAGCAUUUCUUU